rnacentral:rRNA from 1 species
AGUGAACGCUGGCGGUAGGCCUAACACAUGCAAGUCGAACGGCAGCACAGUAAGAGCUUGCUCUUACGGGUGGCGAGUGGCGGACGGGUGAGGAAUACAUCGGAAUCUACUUUUUCGUGGGGGAUAACGUAGGGAAACUUACGCUAAUACCGCAUACGACCUACGGGUGAAAGCAGGGGAUCUUCGGACCUUGCGCGAUUGAAUGAGCCGAUGUCGGAUUAGCUAGUUGGCGGGGUAAAGGCCCACCAAGGCGACGAUCCGUAGCUGGUCUGAGAGGAUGAUCAGCCACACUGGAGCUGAGACACGGUCCAGACUCCUACGGGAGGCAGCAGUGGGGAAUAUUGGACAAUGGGCGCAAGCCUGAUCCAGCCAUACCGCGUGGGUGAAGAAGGCCUUCGGGUUGUAAAGCCCUUUUGUUGGGAAAGAAAAGCAGCAGGUUAAUACCCCGCUGUUCUGACGGGACCCAAAGAAUAAGACCGGCUAACUUCGUG